CAUGUGGAAUAUUUGCCAUCAAAGUAAGUUUUUGAAUUGCAUAUUUCUUUACGGAAACAUGAAGCCGAUUUUGAAAAGGUCUCCUUUUUCAACAUUUAAACUCCUAGAGAGACAUAAAGUUGAUGAAUUUUGAUUAAGUUAAACUGGGCCAGUAUGUUUUGAAUAUUCAUUUAUUCAAACAUGUUCUUAGUAUGCUGAGAAAGUCCUGGCCGAGGAGUCUCCUACUUUCCCAAACUCUCAAGAGGCAGUGGUUAAAUACAGGAGGGAAAUUGCUGUAGCACUUCUCAAUGAGACUGAUGAUCUCAGUGAGCUGUGCCACUACUGUGGAGAGGGAGAAGAAGCGCGAGGGGGGUCUCAAGACAGACCUGAUGCCACUGACUGGAUCCAGUGUGACACCUGUGGAAGGUGGUGCCACGAGGGUUGUGUUGGGAGACCUGACAGAGAUCAUAUGUACAGCUGUCCUGCAUGCCCCCAGGCUCAAAUGAGUCGAUGCCGUCCAAAACCGUCCAAAGAAA
rnacentral:lncRNA from 1 species